UACGUAGGGGGCAAGCGUUGUCCGGAUUCAUUGGGCGUAAAGAGCGUGUGGGCGGCCAGGUAGGUCGGUUGUGAAAACUGGAGGCUCAACCUUCAGAGGUCGACCGAAACCAUCUGGCUAGAGUCCGGGAGAGGAGAGUGGAAUUCCUGGUGUAGCGGUGAAAUGCGCAGAUAUCAGGAAGAACACCCGUGGCGAAAGCGGCUCUCUGGAACGGUACUGACGCUGAGACGCGAAAGCGUGGGGAGCGAACAGG
rnacentral:rRNA from 1 species